rnacentral:pre_miRNA from 1 species
AAUAAGCACAGCCAUAAGUUUCUGUUGUCCGUCUUAUUUAAAAUUAUUUUAUGAUUAGUAUUUUUUUAUUGUUAUUAGAUUAUAAAAUAUGAAUAGUACUUUACGUGUGACUUAUGUUUUCUUUAGGUUUGUCAAAGAAAAAAUUAAAUAAGACGAAUGAUUAAAGUUGGACACGAAAACUCAUGGGCUCAUG